UUCAAAACACAAGACUUAUACAUGUAAAGCAUAAUGUAUCUCUUUGCAAAUUAUGAAGAAACAACUUUAGUCAAAUACAUGCAAGUGACAUUCACUUUUACAUAAAAUUCAUUUACCUUACUGCCAAAUUUGCUAGGAGGAUACCAAAUUUCAGCCAUAUUGUAUCUUUCUACAAACUCUCAGGAAUCUACUCACGUCACAUAUAUGCAUUGUAUAACUGCCACCACUGAAGACGACAACUCAAUCACAAAAGUAAUCUUCUUCAACAAACUCCCUAAACAUGGUCACUUAACAAUAACCCUCAGCAGGCUGCAAUUUGUAGAA